GACGAACGCUGGCGGCGUGCUUAACACAUGCAAGUCGAACGGAAGGCCCUGCUUUUGUGGGGUGCUCGAGUGGCGAACGGGUGAGUAACACGUGAGUAACCUGCCCUUGACUUUGGGAUAACUUCAGGAAACUGGGGCUAAUACCGGAUAGGAGCUCCUGCUGCAUGGUGGGGGUUGGAAAGUUUCGGCGGUUGGGGAUGGACUCGCGGCUUAUCAGCUUGUUGGUGGGGUAGUGGCUUACCAAGGCUUUGACGGGUAGCCGGCCUGAGAGGGUGACCGGCCACAUUGGGACUGAGAUACGGCCCAGACUCCUACGGGAGGCAGCAGUGGGGAAUAUUGCACAAUGGGCGGAAGCCUGAUGCAGCAACGCCGCGUGCGGGAUGACGGCCUUCGGGUUGUAAACCGCUUUCGCCUGUGACGAAGCGUGAGUGACGGUAAUGGGUAAAGAAGCACCGGCUAACUACGUGCCAGCCGCCGCAGUAAAAC
rnacentral:rRNA from 1 species